rnacentral:rRNA from 1 species
UACGUAGGGGGCGAGCGUUGUCCGGAGUUACUGGGCGUAAAGGGCAUGCAGGCGGUCGCACGCGUGUGGCGUGACAGCGGGUGGCUUAACUACCCAAGCAUGGCACAGACGGUGUGACUUGAGGGCGCGAGAGGGACACGGAAUUCCGGGUGGAGUGGUGAAAUGCGUAGAGAUCCGGAGGAACACCGCAGGCGAAGGCAGUGUCCUGGACGCGUACCUGACGCUGAGGUGCGAAAGCUAGGGGAGCGAAACGGGAUUA